rnacentral:rRNA from 1 species
CUUGCUUUCUUUGCUGGCGACCGGCGCACGGGUGGGUAACACGUAUCCAACCUGCCCUUUACUCGGGGAUAGCCUUUCGAAAGAAAGAUUAAUACCCGAUAGUAUAAUGAUCCCGCAUGGUUUCAUUAUUAAAGGAUUCCGGUAAAGGAUGGGGAUGCGUUCCAUUAGGUUGUUGGUGAGGUAACGGCUCACCAAGCCUUCGAUGGAUAGGGGUUCUGAGAGGAAGGUCCCCCACAUUGGAACUGAGACACGGUCCAA